AUUAACCUGAACUUUGUUUUCCCUUCAGUUGUGAAUAAAUCUCUUCAAGAACAGACUGUGGAUGCAAAUGCACAUCAAGGCAAUGAAGGAAACAACACACUGGAGACUUUCAAGUUUUUGCUAAAACAAAAUCUGUGUGAAACUUCAACAUGGACAGAGAACGGAAGUUGUGCUCUGUGCCCUGAGGCAUGGCUUCUGCACAAAAACAAAUGCUACUGGUUUUCUAAUUCAAUGCAGUCUUGGGGAAAAAGCAAGGAAAAUUGUUUAACAAGGAAAACUCAGCUAGUUGUGUUGUAUGACCAGGAUGUGAAGGAAUUCCUCCACAGUAAGGGAAUAAUAAAAAUAUGGAUUGGACUUAGUGGCCCAUUACCAGAUAAGAACACAUGGAUCUGGGUGGAUGGCUCUCCAGUGAAACAGACACUGUGAGUACUCAGAUAUCUCUGGAGGAAAGGUUUUAUAAAUCAAUAAUUUUGUAAACUCACAAGCUACAGAGCUGAAAAUUGUUGUGAUUACCAAGUCUACAGCAUUCUCAAGUGUAUAAGGAACCAGUACAUCUAACAUCUUAUGCUACUAUAUACCUUACAAAAACCAUAUAUCUGAAAGACGAGGAAGUCUCCCAAAUACUCCACAUUUGCAAGUUGGACUUGUGUGGAUUUGAUAACAUGUGUAUUUGAAUAAAAUUUCCUUUUGAAUAAUCUUCCACCAGAAAUUGACCAGAGUCACACUGGAGGACCUACAGAGAGUAUACUGGAGAGAGUACUUCAACAAUUAUUAUACUUCUUUGUUGUUUAUUCGU
rnacentral:lncRNA from 1 species